rnacentral:rRNA from 1 species
UUACGUAACUACGGGGGAGUAACGAACUUAGUAAAUAAGGUAGCUAAUACCGACAUAAGACGCACACGAGCCGCGAUGGCUCAGUGUGAAAACUACCGGUGGUGUAAGAUGGAUCCGCGUCUGAUUAGCUGGUUGGCGGGGUAGAAGCCCACCAAGGCGACGAGUCAGUAGCCGGCCUGAGAGGGUGAACGGCCACAUUGGGACUGAGACACGGCCCAAACUCCUACGGGAGGCAGCAGUGGGGAAUAUUGCACAAUGGGGGAAACCCUGAUGCAGCAACGCCGCGUGAGUGAAGAAGUCAUUCGUGAUGUAAAGCUCUAUCAGCAGGGAAGAAAAUGACGGUACCUGAGGUAAGAAGCCCCGGCUAACUACGUG